rnacentral:lncRNA from 1 species
UUUCACUAUAUAAACUGAACUUUAUAUCUAGCUACCUAAGAGCCUAGGAGCUAACUAGCUAAUCCUCUAUCAGUAUUCUAAUUAAGUAUAUACAACAAGAGACAGCAAAAUGGUAAAGUGUUGCAACAUGCAACAAAAUCUAGCUACCUAGUCUUGUUAUCCUUGUAUUAAUUUAUUAUAUGCUUUAUAUUGUUUUUUAUUUUGUAACAGCUUUAAUUUGAUUGAUGACUCUGUUAAUCAAUCUUCAGGUAGUCAUGAAGACUUUGAUUGUUGUUAUUUUUGCCUCUAUGUUGAUCCUUGGAACUAUUCAUGAAUCCCAUGCACAAAUUCUUCCAGUAAACAAUCGUCGGUUUCUUAGUAGUGGAGGUCCUGAUCGAGUUGUCCCUGGCGGCCCAAAUCCAUGUACUAAAGAUUGUCAUCAUCCUAGUACAUAUAGUCGAAAGACUCCUCCUGGUGAAGUGGAUCUUGCAGAAUAUUACAGCCCACCGGAAUACUAAACUUGCAGGCUCUAUAUAUAUAUAUAUAUAUGCGUGUGUAUAUAUUGUGUGUUUGAUUGGAAAUAAGGGGACCAACAUGCAUGUGGGGCCCAUGGAAGUUUCACCGGGUUUGAAGUAGGAUGAGCUUGUUUAAUUACGUGUCUUGUCUGUGUAUAACAGCAAAAGCUUGUGCUUUAAUUUACCUUAAUUUUUAUGGCCAAUGGAAGUUUAUUACAUGUACUUGUUUGAGUUCAACCAAUAAGCUUACAAGCUGAGAUGUGGGAAGAAAUAGUGUAAAUAAAGUUUGAUUGAUUUAACAGUAUCAUCCACCAUAACAUACUAGGGAGAAUUGCAGCUAAGGUGCCAAACAUUUCAUUUAGUAACAGACUUAAUUCAAAUCUUUCAUUUGUACC